ensembl:lncRNA
UGGACAUUAAGACCAGAGAGAGAGAGAGAGAGAUAGCGAGGUGCCAUGGACAUUAAGACCAGAGAGAGAGAGAGGAGGUGCCAUGGACAUUAAGACCAGAGAGAGAGAGAGAGGUGCCAUGGACAUUAAGACCAGAGAGAGAGGUUUCAUGGACAUUAAGACCAGAGAGAGAGAGAGAGAGGUGCCAUGGACAUUAAGACCAGAGAGAGAGGUGCCAUGGACAUUAAGACCAGAGAGAGAGAGAGAGAGAGAGGUGCCAUGGACAUUAAGACCAGAGAGAGAGGUGCCAUGGACAUUAAGACCAGAGAGAGAGAGAGAGAGAGAGGUGCCAUGGACAUUAAGACCAGAGAGAGAGGUGCCAUGGACAUUAAGACCAGAGAGAGAGAGAGAGAGAGAGAGAGAGAGAGGUGCCAUGGACAUUAAGACCAGAGAGAGAGGUGCCAUGGACAUUAAGACCAGAGAGAGAGAGAGAGAGAGAGAGAGAGAGAGGUGCCAUGGACAUUAAGACCAGAGAGAGAGGAG